rnacentral:rRNA from 1 species
UACGGGGGGGGCAAGCGUUGUUCGGAAUUACUGGGCGUAAAGGGCGCGUAGGCGGCCUGCUAAGUCGGACGUGAAAUCCCCCGGCUCAACCGGGGAACUGCGUCCGAUACUGGUGGGCUCGAAUCCGGGAGAGGGAUGUGGAAUUCCAGGUGUAGCGGUGAAAUGCGUAGAUAUCUGGAGGAACACCGGUGGCGAAGGCGGCACCCUGGACCGGCAUUGACGCUGAGGCGCGAAAGCCAGGGGAGCAAACGGG